rnacentral:rRNA from 1 species
CCUACGGGAGGCAGCAGUGGGGAAUAUUGCACAAUGGGGGAAACCCUGAUGCAGCGAAGCCGCGUGAGUGAAGAAGUAUUUCGGUAUGUAAAGCUCUAUCAGCAGGGAAGAAAAAAGACGGUACCUGACUAAGAAGCCCCGGCUAACUACGUGCCAGCAGCCGCGGUAAUACGUAGGGGGCAAGCGUUAUCCGGAUUUACGGGGGGAAAAGGGAGCGUAGACGGUAUGGCAAGUCUGAAGUGAAAGCCCAGGGCUUAACCCCGGGACUGCUUUGGAAACGGUUAGACUAGGGUGCUGGGGAGGUAAGUGGAAUUCCUGGUGUGGCGGGGAAUUGCGUGGUUAUUAGGAGGAACACCAGUGGCGAAGGCGGCUUACUGGACAUUAACUGACGUUGAGGCUCGAAAGCGUGGGAAGCAAACAGGAUUAGCUACCCCGGUAGU